GGUAGUUUGACUGGGGCGGUCGCCUCCCAAAAGGUAACGGAGGCGUUCAAAGCUACACUCAAUAUGGUCAGAAACCAUAUGUAGAGCGCAAAGGUAAAAGUGUGGUUGACUGUGAGACCUACAAGUCGAGCAGGUGCGAAAGCAGGACUUAGUGAUCCGGCAGUUCAUUAUGGAAUGGCUGUCGCUCAACGGAUAAAAGCUACCCCGGGGAUAACAGGGUUAUCUUCCCCAAGAGAUCACAUCGACGGGAAGGUUUGCCACCUCGAUGUCGGCUCAUCGCAUCCUGGAGCUGGAGUUGGUUCCAAGGGUUUGGCUGUUCGCCAAUUAAAGCGGUACGCGAGCUGGGUUCAGAACGUCGUGAGACAGUUCGGUCCCUAUCUGAUGUGGGCGUUGGAAUAUUGAUGAGAGCUGCUCUUAGUACGAGAGGACCGGAGUGGACGUACCACUGGUGCUCCAGUUGUUUCGCCAGAAGCAUAGCUGGGUAGCUAAGUACGGAAAGGAUAACCGCUGAAAGCAUCUAAGCGGGAAGCCUCCUCAAAGAUGAGUAUUCCCUUGAAAUUCCUUGUAGACUACGA
rnacentral:rRNA from 1 species